rnacentral:rRNA from 1 species
AACGCUGGCGGCAGGCCUAACACAUGCAAGUCGAGCGGAAACGAGUUAACUGAACCUUCGGGGAAUGUUAACGGCGUCGAGCGGCGGACGGGUGAGUAAUGCCUAGGAAAUUGCCCUGAUGUGGGGGAUAACCAUUGGAAACGAUGGCUAAUACCGCAUAAUGCCUUCGGGCCAAAGAGGGGGACCUUCGGGCCUCUCGCGUCAGGAUAUGCCUAGGUGGGAUUAGCUAGUUGGUGAGGUAAGGGCUCACCAAGGCGACGAUCCCUAGCUGGUCUGAGAGGAUGAUCAGCCACACUGGAACUGAGACACGGUCCAGACUCCUACGGGAGGCAGCAGUGGGGAAUAUUGCACAAUGGGCGCAAGCCUGAUGCAGCCAUGCCGCGUGUAUGAAGAAGGCCUUCGGGUUGUAAAGUACUUUCAGCAGUGAGGAAGGUGGUGUAGUUAAUAACUGCAUCAUUUGACGUUAGCUGCAGAAGAAGCACCGGCUAACUCCGUGCCAGCAGCCGCGGUAAUACGGAGGGUGCGAGCGUUAAUCGGAAUUACUGGGCGUAAAGCGCAUGCAGGUGGUUUGUUAAGUCAGAUGUGAAAGCCCGGGGCUCAACCUCGGAAUUGCAUUUGAAACUGGCAGACUAGAGUACUGUAGAGGGGGGUAGAAUUUCAGGUGUAGCGGUGAAAUGCGUAGAGAUCUGAAGGAAUACCGGUGGCGAAGGCGGCCCCCUGGACAGAUACUGACACUCAGAUGCGAAAGCGUGGGGAGCAAACAGGAUUAGAUACCCUGGUAGUCCACGCCGUAAACGAUGUCUACUUGGAGGUUGUGGCCUUGAGCCGUGGCUUUCGGAGCUAACGCGUUAAGUAGACCGCCUGGGGAGUACGGUCGCAAGAUUAAAACUCAAAUGAAUUGACGGGGGCCCGCACAAGCGGUGGAGCAUGUGGUUUAAUUCGAUGCAACGCGAAGAACCUUACCUACUCUUGACAUCCAGAGAAGCCAGUAGAGAUACAGGUGUGCCUUCGGGAACUCUGAGACAGGUGCUGCAUGGCUGUCGUCAGCUCGUGUUGUGAAAUGUUGGGUUAAGUCCCGCAACGAGCGCAACCCUUAUCCUUGUUUGCCAGCGAGUAAUGUCGGGAACUCCAGGGAGACUGCCGGUGAUAAACCGGAGGAAGGUGGGGACGACGUCAAGUCAUCAUGGCCCUUACGAGUAGGGCUACACACGUGCUACAAUGGCGCAUACAGAGGGCAGCAAGCUAGCGAUAGUGAGCGAAUCCCAAAAAGUGCGUCGUAGUCCGGAUUGGAGUCUGCAACUCGACUCCAUGAAGUCGGAAUCGCUAGUAAUCGUGGAUCAGAAUGCCACGGUGAAUACGUUCCCGGGCCUUG